rnacentral:misc_RNA from 1 species
ACCAGGAGUUCGAAGUCCUGAGGACAUGUUUUCCUCAGAAUCAUAAUAGUGAGGUGAUGCAAAAGAAUCAAGUAGUUUUCCAGGUUGACCAGCAGUGUUAUCAGUAGCAAGACUCUUUCUGGCUGCAGCAAGACUUGUCUGACAAUGAAAUUACAAUUAAGAAAUAUAGAUAUCAAAGUAAUAUAUUAAGCCAACUAUCACACCGUGUGAAGAAUCCAUAUAGAGAUAUGAAUAUUUGCAUUCUAAUUAUCAGAUAUCUACAGCUUUUGACAGAUGGUGGAACCAUCACAUAUUACAGUCCCUCUCACAUAUCUUCAAUUGGCAUACCUAACAGAAAUCAAAUUUUAUUUUCUUCAAUUUUUGGUGGCUGAUAGGGGAAGGAUGAAUAAUGAUCUUCAGCAGACAGGCUUUCAUCUCCUUAGGUUAGAUGACACAGACCAAAACCUGAGUUACAGUCACUAGUAAGUAGUAAACUUCACCAUUAGAGCCAAUUUCAUUCAUCUCUUCUCAGGCUUUAAUUAGAAGUCCUUUGGUCAUUGUUAGCAAAUGAAAGGUACAACUGCUUUCAUUUGUUGGAAGAACAAACUCAUACGAUUUGAUGUUAAUCAUGCACUUCGACUUGCCUCGGGCAAAUGCCUCAAGGCCACACCAAGGGCUAAAAAUCUCCAGUCAGUCUGGUUUGGCAUAAUAAUGUUUUCCUAUCCAAUUAGGUCCAUAAGCCAAUCGCAUUUUGCCACUCUCAAAAUUUGAUGACCAGAAAGUAACGGCAUAGUUGCAAGUAAGAUCCUCAGUUAAUGACAGUGACAAGUUAGUCAAGGUCUCCCCAAUUAAAAUAUUCUCUGAGCAACAUCAGCUUGCUUGCUAAGCUUAUAGGAACGCUACCUCCUUUUUGUUACAAUCCCAUCUUAACCAAUGAUGACAUUGUAUUUGCACCAUAAUGUAGCCCAGUAUCUGCUAAACCAUUUGAUGUCAAGCAAAUAAAAAGGUAUACAGGCCACCUCCUAACUGAUGAAGAUGAUGAUUACUCCCCCAACAUCACUGUCCCUUCUAUACUGGUCCUAGACCUACUGACCAACUAAAAUUUAUCAGCAUUUCAUUGGCUAAUUUUCAGAUAAUGAUGAUCUCUGGUAAAACUCCGCCUAAGUAGUUUGUGGUUAGCCGGUCCUAAGCCCGGAUAAAGGAGGAGGGUUAAAAAUAGCAAAUAAGAGAAGUUUUACACUAUUUAUAUUUCCCAGUUGAUUUAUGUAACUUGGGGUUAUGGAUGGUUAAGUAGCAUGCUUAAAGCAAAAAGCUUGAUAAAUUACCUACAAAAUGAUAGGGGAUAAGCCAAUAACUAGUAUUUUUAGAAGUCCAUAAUCUCUGUAUGUCAUAUUUUUCAUGUCGUUCAUGCCUUGCGACUACAAGUCCUGUCUACUUAAGAUUAAAUUUUGACAUAUGGUAUAUUUUCUGAACUUCUGGGAUUAUUAUUAUUAUUAUUUUUUGAGAGAGAGAGAUAGAAUGUGGAGGAGCCAGGCUGGCAAAGACGCGUCAUUUUUGUUUUCGAUGAUCGAGGGAGCUGUGGGGAAUGUAAUCGUGUU